CGAACACAUGACAUACAGGAAAUUAAACUAAGUUUAAAUUGCUUAUUUUCCACGAGACGAAACACGAGCACGGAAAAUGGCAAGACAAGAGAGCGACACCACCAAACAUGCAUGCAUGGGUAUGCUAGUUCACAUGACACUGCACGAGGGCCCGCCGCCCUGCCUGGGUUGGUGGUGGUGGCGGCCAUGCUGCUGCUGCUGCGCGCGCUGGCAGUCGGCGUCGGCGUCGUCCUCGGUGCCGAUGGAACAGCCAGGCUCGCACUGGUCGCCACCAGCGUCGGCGUAGGCGGUAGCAUCGGCUUCAUCAUCAGCGUACGCGGCGGCGGCGGCGCGGUGCAGCAUCAGCACGUACGCCAGCUGCGUGACGGCCAGCACCGCGGUGACCGCCUCCAGCGUGCGCAUCUGCCACCCGCGCGCCGCGGCGGCGGCGGCCCGCAUCUCCUUGCACGCGAGGCCGAGCGCGAGCGCGGUGGCCGCCCACGCGACGGUGCCCAGCGCAGCGGCGGCCGCGAGGCCCUGCGGCCGCCACAAGGCGCGCGCGUG
rnacentral:misc_RNA from 1 species